rnacentral:lncRNA from 1 species
UUUGUGCCUUGGGUAAAUGUCCUAACAUUUAAGUAGUUUAAGUAUUUCCUGAGAUGCUGGAAUCCAAAACUUUUAUUCCAAAAUAAGACCUGACACUGCUGCUAAUGCAGAGAACAUCUCAUUACCAAACUUUGAGACUUCUCUCUACAUUGUGGGAUAUUUUAGAAACCAAUUCACUGGUCCUGUUCACUGAUUAUCUCAAGGCAAGUGGGUGCUAUUGAUUUGUUAGCCACUAUGGUCCCAAACCCGACUUGGACAGUGAAACACAGGUAGCAGGUGGACUGUUCAGAAGAAGCUUAGAGGACAGAAUGGAAGCUGGAAGAUCCAUUAGAAAUUGUUCUAAGUAGGACAGAGAAAAUAGGAAGUAGGAGACAAGAUGACUACCCCCAGAGAAAGGAUGGCUCAGAGAGAGUAAAUUUUGUUGAGGGCUGUGCCUCGGGGACACACCAGAUGAGUCAGCCAGCUGCCACAGUUUGACUAGAAAGCAGGAAGUAAAGCCAUGUUGACCACAGUUGCCAGAGGCAAAGCCAGCAAGAAUUAGAAGAGGAGAGGCGCUUGUAAGCCCAGGAGGUUAGCUGAGAGGAUUUUUCUCCAAGACAACUCAUUCAGGAAAGCUGAGAGAUCACUCAAAAGGAUGAGCCUCACCUGAAAGCCCCAGGGAGCAACAAAGAGCCAAAAGGACUGUGUGAAAGAAACAGGCUUCGUAGACUACAUUCCACAGAAAUUAUGAAUCUUUACAGUUAUAAUUGUAUACAAAAUUUGUUGUUCAUUAAGAUUUUAAAUAUAUCUUUGUGGACUACUGCUUACCCUGUAUGCCCUAAGGAGCAGUAAAAAAUGAGAAGUCAGCCACUUGGAAAUAUUCUGUGAAAGUAAUUCCUCUGGAAAAUGAGUAGAAUACGGAGUAAAGAGAUAUUUGAUACUCAUCCUUGCCGAAGAAAACAUGCAAAAUCAAAAUGUUAAUCUGGUCUACCCUAAACAUUCUCCAGCAGUAUACCCUAAAUAUUCUCUAGCAGUAUGACCAAUGCAUUACAAAUAAGCAGCUGCUCCUUCAAAAUGUUAACUGAAACCUCCAACAAUAUAUAUCACAGCAACUCCAUGGGAAAAGCAUUUCUACAGUUUUACGAAAGAGCACACUUAGGUUCAAAGGUGAAAUGAUUCUCACUCAAAAUCGCAACAGCUGCCUGUACCUGGACAGUGACAGACCUCCUACAAACUGAGGACAUGAACAGAGUUCACAGAAAGAAAAACGCAAAUGCCAAUAAAAACAUUGAACCUCAACUGCAUCAAAAUCAGAGAGAUCAACACUAAAGCAACAAAUACUGCACACCUUUUAUGUAUCAAGUUGGCACAUUUAAGGAGUUCAAACUUUUCCGAUGACGAAAAGGAUGUGCAGGUGAAAGCAUUCUCCUUCAUUCCUGGUAGGUAUGUGAAUUGCUACAACUUUUUGGAAAGUCAUCUAAUUAAUACCUAGUACAAUUAAAAAUUCCUUUACAUUUUAGUGAUUGACUAGAGAAAGAUUAGUCUUUUCAACAAAUAGCACUGAAGCAAUGGGACAACUAUAGGGAAAACUAAAGACUAAAUAAAGCAAGAUAAGUGCUCUGUCAGGGAAGUCCAGACACUCUGGGAGGCUGCAGGAAGUGUCUAUUACCUGUCUGGAGAGUCAGGAAGGAUUCCAGAGCUCAGCCCCAGCUGACUCCAAAGACAAAGAGUAGUCGAGCAGAGGGAGGAGUUAAAAGCAUA